rnacentral:rRNA from 1 species
GAUGAACGCUGGCGGCGUGCCUAAUACAUGCAAGUCGAGCGAACGGACGAGAAGCUUGCUUUUCUGAUGUUAGCGGCGGACGGGUGAGUAACACGUGGAUAACCUACCUAUAAGACUGGGAUAACUUCGGGAAACCGGAGCUAAUACCGGAUAAUAUUUUGAACCGCAUGGUUCAAAAGUGAAAGACGGUCUUGCUGUCACUUUUAGAUGGAUCCGCGCUGCAUUAGCUAGUUGGUAAGGUAACGGCUUACCAAGGCAACGAUGCAUAGCCGACCUGAGAGGGUGCUCGGCCACCCUGGAACUGAGACCCGGUCCAGACUCCUACGGGAGGCAGCAGUAGGGAAUCUUCCGCAAUGGGCGAAAGCCUGACGGAGCAACGCCGCGUGAGUGAUGAAGGUCUUCGGAUCGUAAAACUCUGUUACUAGGGAAGAACAUAUGUGUAAGUAACUGUGCACAUCUGGACGGUACCUAAGCAGAAAGCCACGGCUAACUACGU